UGUCUUUAAACUUUUUAUUUUGUCCUUUUUAAUCAUUUCUUCUUAUAACUCUGUGGGAGCAGUAUGGGUUGUGAUGCAUCCAUAGUACAGGAAGAUUACUCUGUGAGUAAUUUCUUCUAGCUCCGGUUGGGAUGCGUGCGAAUUUCUAAUUUGUUACCACUUAAUUUUGGGCCCAGCUGAAGGACGCCUCCGGGUGCGGCAGUUUUUCGCUGCAUUGAAGACACAUUGGUGUCCUUCGGCUAUUGUCUGCCUAUGGUCGGGUUGUCGUCUCUUUGAAAAAUUCCCCAUUUCCAUUCUCAAUUUUAUAUCAUUUAAAAACCGUUAUCUAUACUUAAAUAAUUAAAAUGCACAAAGAGGAAAAAAAUGCUGUCUUGGUAGUCUGUUGAUAUUUAAGUGUGCCUCUCUGAAUUGUGUUUAAUCGAUUUGUUGAUUCCAUGCCAUUUCAAACAAUAUCGGCUUGGCGUUAACUUAAUAUAUAUAUAUAUAUGGGAUGCGUCUGUUGUCGACGAAAGCAGUGCUUAUCCAAAUUUGAUAAAUUCAGAUAUAUUUUCGAGAUAUUUCGACUACAAUGAU
rnacentral:lncRNA from 1 species